rnacentral:rRNA from 1 species
GACGAACGCUGGUGGCGUGCUUAACACAUGCAAGUCGAACGGGAUUUAGUAAACAGAAGCCUCGGUGGAAGAUUACUAAUGAGAGUGGCGAACGGGUGAGUAACGCGUGAGCAACCUGCCUAUGACAGUGGGAUAGCCUCGGGAAACCGGGAUUAAUACCGCAUAAAAUCGUAGAAACACAUGUUUUAACGGUCAAAGAUUUAUCGGUCAUAGAUGGGCUCGCGUCUGAUUAGCUAGUUGGUGAGAUAACAGCCCACCAAGGCGACGAUCAGUAGCCGGUCUGAGAGGAUGAACGGCCACAUUGGAACUGAGACACGGUCCAAACUCCUACGGGAGGCAGCAGUGGGGAAUAUUGCACAAUGGGGGAAACCCUGAUGCAGCGACGCCGCGUGAACGAAGAAGGUAUUCGUAUCGUAAAGUUCUGCCCUAUGGGAAGAUAAUGACAGUACCAUAGAAGAAAGCUCCGGCUAAAUACGUG